rnacentral:rRNA from 1 species
GUUGUAUGGUUAAGUGACUAAGCGUACACGGUGGAUGCCUUGGCAGUCAGAGGCGAUGAAGGACGUAUUAACUUGCGAUAAGCCCAGAUUAGGCAGUAAAAGCCACUUGAGUCUGGGAUUUCCGAAUGGGGAAACCCACUAGCAUAAGCUAGUAUCGCUGCGUGAAUACAUAGCGCAGCGAGGCGAACCGGGGGAACUGAAACAUCUAAGUACCCCGAGGAAAAGAAAUCAACCGAGAUUCCGAAAGUAGCGGCGAGCGAAAUUGGACUAGCCCUUAAGCUUUAUAUGCGUUAGACGAACGGUCUGGAAAGUCCGGCGAUACAGGGUGAUAGCCCCGUAGUUGACAACGCACAUUCAGUGAAAUCGAGUAGGGCGGGACACGUGAUAUCCUGUCUGAAUAUGGGGGACCAUCCUCCAAGGCUAAAUACUACUGACUGACCGAUAGUGAACCAGUACCGUGAGGGAAAGGCGAAAAGAACCCCUGUGAGGGGAGUGAAAUAGAACCUGAAACCGUGUACGUACAAGCAGUAGGAGCAGGCUUUGUCCUGUGACUGCGUACCUUUUGUAUAAUGGGUCAGCGACUUAUAUUCAGUGGCAAGGUUAACCAUCUAGGGGAGCCGUAGGGAAACCGAGUCUUAACUGGGCGUUCAGUCUCUGGAUAUAGACCCGAAACCAGGUGAUCUAGCCAUGGGCAGGUUGAAGGUUGAGUAACAUCAACUGGAGGACCGAACCGACUAAUGUUGAAAAAUUAGCGGAUGACUUGUGGCUAGGGGUGAAAGGCCAAUCAAACCUGGAGAUAGCUGGUUCUCCCCGAAAGCUAUUUAGGUAGCGCCUCGGACGAAUACUACUGGGGGUAGAGCACUGUUAAGGCUAGGGGGUCAUCCCGACUUACCAACCCUUUGCAAACUCCGAAUACCAGUAAGUACUAUCCGGGAGACACACGGCGGGUGCUAACGUCCGUCGUGGAGAGGGAAACAACCCAGACCGCCAGCUAAGGUCCCAAAUUACUACUAAGUGGGAAACGAUGUGGGAAGGCUCAGACAGCCAGGAUGUUGGCUUAGAAGCAGCCAUCAUUUAAAGAAAGCGUAAUAGCUCACUGGUCGAGUCGGCCUGCGCGGAAGAUGUAACGGGGCUAAGUAGUAAACCGAAGCUGCGGCAAUGUGCUUUUGCACAUUGGGUAGGGGAGCGUUCUGUAAGCGGUUGAAGGUGUGUGGUAACGCAUGCUGGACGUAUCAGAAGUGCGAAUGCUGACAUGAGUAACGAUAAAGGGGGUGAAAAACCUCCUCGCCGGAAGACCAAGGGUUCCUGUCCAACGUUAAUCGGGGCAGGGUAAGUCGACCCCUAAGGCGAGGCCGAAAGGCGUAGUCGAUGGGAAACGGGUUAAUAUUCCCGUACUUCUUACAAUUGCGAUGGGGGACGGAGAAGGCUAGGUGGGCCUGGCGACGGUUGUCCAGGUUCAAGUGCGUAGGCUUAAGAGUUAGGUAAAUCCGGCUCUUUCUAAGGCUGAGACACGACGUCGAGCUACUACGGUAGUGAAGUCAUUGAUGCCAUGCUUCCAGGAAAAGCCUCUAAGCUUCAGAUUGUAAGGAAUCGUACCCCAAACCGACACAGGUGGUCGGGUAGAGAAUACCAAGGCGCUUGAGAGAACUCGGGUGAAGGAACUAGGCAAAAUGGUACCGUAACUUCGGGAGAAGGUACGCUCUCGACGGUGAAGUCCCUCGCGGAUGGAGCUAUUGAGAGUCGCAGAUACCAGGUGGCUGCAACUGUUUAUUAAAAACACAGCACUGUGCAAAAUCGUAAGAUGACGUAUACGGUGUGACGCCUGCCCGGUGCCGGAAGGUUAAUUGAUGGGGUUAGACUUCGGUCGAAGCUCUUGAUCGAAGCCCCGGUAAACGGCGGCCGUAACUAUAACGGUCCUAAGGUAGCGAAAUUCCUUGUCGGGUAAGUUCCGACCUGCACGAAUGGCGUAAUGAUGGCCACGCUGUCUCCACCCGAGACUCAGUGAAAUUGAAAUCGCUGUGAAGAUGCAGUGUACCCGCGGCUAGACGGAAAGACCCCGUGAACCUUUACUACAGCUUGGCACUGAACAUUGACCCUACAUGUGUAGGAUAGGUGGGAGGCUUUGAAGACGGUACGCCAGUAUCGUUGGAGCCGUCCUUGAAAUACCACCCUUGUAGUGUUGAUGUUCUAACGUUGACCCCUUAUCGGGGUUACGGACAGUGCCUGGUGGGUAGUUUGACUGGGGCGGUCUCCUCCCAAAGAGUAACGGAGGAGCACGAAGGUGGGCUAAUCACGGUUGGACAUCGUGAGGUUAGUGCAAUGGCAUAAGCCCGCUUGACUGCGAGAAUGACAAUUCGAGCAGGUGCGAAAGCAGGUCAUAGUGAUCCGGUGGUUCUGAAUGGAAGGGCCAUCGCUCAACGGAUAAAAGGUACUCCGGGGAUAACAGGCUGAUACCGCCCAAGAGUUCAUAUCGACGGCGGUGUUUGGCACCUCGAUGUCGGCUCAUCACAUCCUGGGGCUGAAGUCGGUCCCAAGGGUAUGGCUGUUCGCCAUUUAAAGUGGUACGCGAGCUGGGUUUAGAACGUCGUGAGACAGUUCGGUCCCUAUCUGCCGUGGGCGUUGGAAGAUUGAAGGGGGCUGCUCCUAGUACGAGAGGACCGGAGUGGACGAACCUCUGGUGUUCGGGUUGUGUCGCCAGACGCAUUGCCCGGUAGCUAAGUUCGGAAUCGAUAACCGCUGAAAGCAUCUAAGCGGGAAGCGAGCCCUGAGAUGAGUCUUCCCUGAUACUUUAAGUAUCCUAAAGGGUUGUCGGAGACUACGACGUUGAUAGGUCAGGUGUGUAAGUGCUGUGAGGCAUUGAGCUAACUGAUACUAAUUGCCCGUGAGGCUUAACCAUACAACACCCAAGGGGUUU